rnacentral:lncRNA from 10 species
CCGAGCUGCCUAAUGAGGCCGUUUGGAUUUCCUGUUGUUCUGGCUUCCCAAGACCCUUAAAGGGCCAGCAUGGAACUAAGAGUGUGAUCUGGGUGGGACACCAACUGCUCUGGUGGAGCACCCAGAAGGCCUGGAGAGAAUGUCUGCCGGCCAUGAGUCAUGGUUAGAAGAUGCUUCUCAUGUGGCGAACCCUCAGCUUCUCUUCUCUUGGGCCCAUGGUCUCCGCAGACCCAAGCUGUUCUCCUCCAGAAGAAGAGGGCCCAGUCCAUACCAGUUACCGCAGUCCCAGGCAUCUCCUGCACUGGGGCUUCUGAGAAGGCAAGGGAGACAGUCUGCAACUAGCCUAGGCCCUCGGGCUCCUGGGGAACAUGGGAGGAGGAGAGGGGAGGCCCUCCUGGUCUUGUGAGAAGCAAGAGCAGGGACUCUGUCUCCUGCCAAGGGUCCCAACCACUUGGACAUCCCUUCCUUGGCACAUUUGGGUCAUCAGUCAUGAGCCAUCAGCCAGUGGAUGGUCCAGCCCGGUCAGUGUGCUGUCUUGGUGACACAGAGAGGGCUGAUCUGCCAGGAGCUUCAAGGACCAGGGCAGAAGAUGCCCCUCUUUCCUGCCACAGGUCUCAGCUCUGAACUGCCACCAUGAAGGAGGAGGGGUUACAAUUUGAAACCUACACUUGGCCCUGGCAGGAGUGCCGUCUUGGUUUCCGAAGGCCAAGACUGUGAGCAGUUAGUUCCUCCAAACCUUCAUAUCUUCCCCAAACCCAUUCUCAAAGCUCCAGUCUUCUCCCUCCAGUCAAGAACUUUGUCACACCCUCUUGCCACAAACAGGACCUCCAACAGUUGGCUUUUUCCACAGGGUCCGGAUCCCUUCCGAGCCCCACCUAGCUUUCCUCUCUUUUUUCCCCACCCUCUGCUCCUCAUGCCUCAUCCCUUAUGAGCAUUUGUCUGCGGUUCUCCUUUUUCCUUCAUUUCCUUCUGGAACUCAUUUGCAGUCAGGGAGCUCCCCUCCACUCUAAGUCUGCCCCUGACUGUCUGGAUGUCACCUGGGGGAAAGGAAAUGACUGUUUAUUGGGUCCCAUGAAUGCAUAAUCUGAU